AGAUCAGCUGCUGAAUUUGCUCCUGUGCUGUACCUCUGGGCAGCUAUCAGCAGAGCACACAAAUCACCACCCCCUGCAGCAGCACAGCCAACGUGAUGGAUCAGGGCUGAUCACCUGCUUUCAACCUCAGGGGAGUGGCUGAAGGACAGGUGAAGCCUGCCCUGCUCAGAUGCAUUCAUUUUCUCUGUAUCAGUGCUGAGGAGGUACCUCCCUGCUGCUCCCUGAGACACCAUGUCUUGUAGAAGAGGCAAGCAAAGCUUCUUGACCUGACAAACUUCAUCUGGCUUCAAAUUUUAGGGGCUGCAACCCAUGGACAUCUUCCAUGGCUUAGUGAUAAAAGCUUUGGAUCCAAGACACAUGAUAUUAGUUCAGGUGGCUGACUAGUAGAAGCAGCAGUGAUACUGCAGCAUCCGUUCCUCUGACUGCCUUUAGGCUGAAAGCUGCUACAGCUGUCACUGACUGCAGGACAGCGACCUGUCACACUUCAGCAGGAGCCUGGAUCCUUGGGUAUCCUCACUGCAUCCCAUACCACGAGCAGAGGGCGACAGGGAAGUCAGAAGCAGAGUUAUGGCAAUAAUGUACUGCAGGAGUCUUAGUGCC